CCUUCCACCUCUAACAAAUGUUCCGGUCACUUUAGACUGGGCCGCGAUGAAUUCGAAUCAAUCAAGGCUAGUUCGGGGGCAGAAUCACACCUUCAAAUGUGUGUGACGCAUUCAA
ensembl:ncRNA F58F6.9 ncRNA